rnacentral:rRNA from 2 species
GGGUUGUGAGGUUAAGCGACUAAGCGUACACGGUGGAUGCCCUGGCAGUCAGAGGCGAUGAAGGACGUGCUAAUCUGCGAUAAGCGUCGGUAAGGUGAUAUGAACCGUUAUAACCGGCGAUUUCCGAAUGGGGAAACCCAGUGUGUUUCGACACACUAUCAUUAACUGAAUCCAUAGGUUAAUGAGGCGAACCGGGGGAACUGAAACAUCUAAGUACCC